rnacentral:lncRNA from 1 species
UCUUUUGCUAGUAUCUAAACUAUCCAUAUAUACAACAAUAUUCAGCCAAGCGGACGGCCAAAGAUCUCAACUAUCCAUAUAUACAACACCACUUUCCUUGUAUAGCUUGCACGAAUAAUAUAGGAUACUAUGUUUCUCAUGAACGCCUGAUUAUUUCCUUGUCAGUGAAUCAACUUUCAAUAUCAUUCAAUUUUUUCUCCUGAGCGGGGCAGCGAGCCUUGGUUCUCCGUGUCCCCUGGGCAGUGCUGCGAGCCUUGAUUUCCGGCGAUUCCAAGACUCCCUAGCGAUCCCUGGCACGGACGCUUCUUUUUCACCGAAGGAGGCAGAGGUCAGCCGUUUUCUUUUGAAUCAUUGCCAUGUUCAUCCAAUAGUUUGUUAGUGAACUUCCAGGUUUAGGUGUUGGUCUGCGAUAAGGUUUACUUGAAGGUUUCUUAUACUACUCAUCAAUUUGGUCAAUCAGGUCCAUCUUUGAUCCUUUGCCACGAACGCUCGUCUUUCCUGCAAGUAAGUAGGUGUUUUCAGCUCGCCUCAUUGGGGCGCCCAGGCGGAUCUUUGGUCAGUCAGGUUCAUCUUCACGACACAGAUCAGGGGACUCAGUUUCCUUUUGGUUGAUCAUCCUGUAGCAACAUAAAUUAGAUGGUUCAACCUAUAGUUACCGAUGUUAUUGCUUGCACCUGUAGUUAGCUUGUGACCCAAUGUGUGCAAGAAGAAAAACUAUUUGGAAUUAUGAAUGCGUCGAUGGCUCCAAGCAACAGUUUGUGUAAUAUGGAUUCCAAUCAUUACUUAAUUUUGUUCCUUGUAAUUCUGAGACAUGAUCUUCAAAUUCAUCACCUAAUGAUGUUCCAACAAGGUAGAUAUUUUGGUUGAUCCC